rnacentral:misc_RNA from 1 species
CUGUAAUCUCUGGCGUCAGUAUCCGAUGGGCCUGAUAAUUCAAUCCCGUCGCGAUUAUGAUUAUGAUUAUCCCUUGCCCUAAUUGCCCAUCUAUUGUAAUAAAUUUCCCUCUCGUUUCUCUCGUUCCCGUCUCCCAAAUUCUCAAGCGAGUGAAUAGGACUAUGUUCUUUUAACGGACUUUCUGAAUUUUCCAUGUCGAAUCCGCGAUAAGUAUCAUCCACAUCUUCACCACAACUGUAUUUCGCAUCUCCUUCGGCAUUGUUGUUUGCACCGCCACCAC